rnacentral:rRNA from 1 species
GACGAACGCUGGCGGCGUGCUUAACACAUGCAAGUCGAACGGAAAGGCCCCUUCGGGGGUACUCGAGUGGCGAACGGGUGAGUAACACGUGAGUAACCUGCCCUUGACUUCGGGAUAACUUCAGGAAACUGGGGCUAAUACCGGAUAGGAAUCCUUGCUGCAUGGUGGGGGUUGGAAAGCUUCGGCGGUUUUGGAUGGACUCGCGGCUUAUCAGCUUGUUGGUGGGGUAGUGGCUUACCAAGGCUUUGACGGGUAGCCGGCCUGAGAGGGCGACCGGCCACAUUGGGACUGAGAUACGGCCCAGACUCCUACGGGAGGCAGCAGUGGGGAAUAUUGCACAAUGGGCGGAAGCCUGACGCAGCAACGCCGCGUGCGGGAUGACGGCCUUCGGGUUGUAAACCGCUUUCAGCAGGGGCGAAGCUUGUGGUGACGGUACCUGCAGAAGAAGCACCGGCUAACUACGUG